AUUGAACGCUGGCGGCAGGCCUAACACAUGCAAGUCGAGCGGAUGAAGGGGGCUUGCUCCUGGAUUCAGCGGCGGACGGGUGAGUAAUGCCUAGGAAUCUGCCUGGUAGUGGGGGAUAACGUCCGGAAACGGGCGCUAAUACCGCAUACGUCCUGAGGGAGAAAGUGGGGGAUCUUCGGACCUCACGCUAUCAGAUGAGCCUAGGUCGGAUUAGCUAGUUGGUGGGGUAAAGGCCUACCAAGGCGACGAUCCGUAACUGGUCUGAGAGGAUGAUCAGUCACACUGGAACUGAGACACGGUCCAGACUCCUACGGGAGGCAGCAGUGGGGAAUAUUGGACAAUGGGCGAAAGCCUGAUCCAGCCAUGCCGCGUGUGUGAAGAAGGUCUUCGGAUUGUAAAGCACUUUAAGUUGGGAGGAAGGGCAGUAAGUUAAUACCUUGCUGUUUUGACGUUACCAACAGAAUAAGCACCGGCUAACUUUGUG
rnacentral:rRNA from 1 species